AACCCAUCGUGAGGGCACCAUCUCAAUAAGUCCUUAUACCUCACCCAUGCAUCAUAUAGGGUUUCUCAGUCAAUUUGAAUAAAAGAAGAGAUAUCAUUCCUCAACUU
rfam:Gossypium hirsutum cultivar TM-1 chromosome 15, whole genome shotgun sequence